ACAUGCGGUGUAUGCGGGAGUCCCGUUAGAAGUGAGCAGCCAGCCGCUUUGAGGUGAUUCGUAUCCACAGCCCUCACUGAUAAGACAGGGGUAAAUAUGGAACAGGGAACCUUCCUCUCAGAAAAUAAUUUUCCAAUCUAAAGUAAGCGAAUACGCAGCAUGACAACAUAGAGAGCCUCUCCUCUCACCAUCUACAUCCCUCACUGCAAUCCAGGGAGUCAGAUACCAGGAGAAGGAGGAGUAGAGCCUGCUUCCCCGUUCAAUAAGAUCAUGGCUGAUCCUCGACCUCAACCCCACUUUCCCGCUCGAGAUAGACAAUUCCAAAGAUUCACAACCCUCUGAGUGAAGUGUGGCGCCUAGAAUUGGACACAAUGUGCCGUGGAGGUUGAAACAAUGUUUUAAAAUGGUUCACCAUAACAUCUUGCUGUUGUACAUUGUUCCCUUUGGCAGAAUGGUUGAGAACCAAUGGACACCGAUUAAAUGUGAUUGACAAAAGAACCAAAGACCAUAUGAGGAAAAUCUUUUUUUAUGCAGUGAGUGGUUAGGUUCUGGAGUGUCCUGCUCCAGAGGAUGUGAAUGCAAAUUCAAUCAUGGCUAUCAAGAAUGAAAUGGAUAAGCUCCAGAAGGAAACUAAACAGCGCUCCAAGGAGAAGGCAGGGAGUGGGACUAACUCAAUUUCUCUUGCUAAGAGCCAGCACUGACAUGACAGGCCGAAUGAACUUCUUCUGUGCUGUUAAUAUUCUGUGAUCCUAUUCUGUUUUUCUAUUCUUCCUACCUCAUAUUUGCCCACAUUAUUAUUAUAUCUGCCAUCUUCUUGCUCACUCAUUUAUCUGUAUCCCUUUGCGGAUGCCUUGGGUCCUUAUCGUGGCUAACUUUUUCACCUAGCUUUGUAUCAUCAGCAAAAUUGGAUGAAUUAUACUUCAUCCCUUCAACUAAGUCAUUAAUAUAGAUUGUAAAUAGCUGAAGACCCAACACUGAUCCUACUAUUUACAGCCUGCUGACUUGAAAAUUACCUAUUUUUUCCAAUUCGCUUUUGCCCAUGCCAAUAUACCUAACCUUGUGUAACAACCUGUUCUGCAUCAUCUUUUCACAUGCUUUUUGAAAUUCCAAGUAUAUUGCACCUACUGACUCCCCUUUAUCUACCCUCCAGUUACAUCCUCGGACAACUCAGCGAUUCAGCAAACACAGAUUUCCUUUCAUUAAACCAUAUAGACUCUACUUAAUCAUAUUGUGAUUUUCCAAUCGCCCUGUUACCACUGGCAUAAUAACGGAUUCCAAUAUUUUCACGAUAACUUAUGCCAGGCCAACUGUUCUAUGGUUCCCUGUUUUUUCCCUUCUCAAAUAAUGUUAGAUUUGUGUAAGCAUAUUAUAAAUUGGCCUGUCUGAA